CUUCCAUUAGCACUGUGUGUCAUUAGCAUAUCACAUGUUACAGUCUCCUUAAUCCAGUGUGAGGAGUCCCUCCAUCCAGUUCUCGGCAAACCUUUGUUUCUUGUUUUAGAAGGAACACUAUAAGCCAUAAAGGCAAUCCCAUAGUCAUAAUCUCUCUAGUAGGCUCUGUAGUUUUCAAAGUUUGAAAUUUACUUAACUUUUUUUUGCAUGCUUGUAUUUGAAAACAUGAAGGAGAUACCAGACUGUAAUCAUCAGUGUGUCUUGGGUACAGGAGAUACCUGACUUGCCCCAGUAUUCACACUGGGCUUGUAAAAGUACCUGUGAUUAAAAUACUUAUAAGCCUUUUUGAAGAAAUAAUGUUGUCUAACUAUAUAGUAGGGGACGCUAAGUGAGAUAAACACUGAGUCUCAUAGAGCGAUUGUAUCAAGAGGAGAUUUUCUGUGAAAUGAAUUUACUUGGGGGUCAAAAUGCUCACAUAUUUUAAAGAAAGCAAGUACUUGUUUGAAACAGUACAGCCCCUCUGUUGAGAUUCAUGUGGCUGGUUACAUGCAAACCAAAGGCACAACUAUGAGUUUGGGUGGAGAAAUCUCCAUUUCUUUUUUCCUUCACUGGUCUUUAAAAAUUAUGUUUUUCUAGUGGCUAGAAGGACAAGUCAGAAAUAGUUAAAUUCUGGCUUGGAAACUCAUGAGAAUUAAUGAUCUGUAGACCAAUUUUUUAUCCUAAAACGUCAUGCUUGAUCCCCAACUUCUUAUGGGACUGCUCUUCAGGGCGAUUUCUUGUUUUUCUUUCUUCAGUGUGUACAUGUGCCCUGAGGCUGUUUGUAAUGGGAGAAUUUCAUAAAAUUCAUAAAUUUAAAACACCCCACACAUCCAAAAUUCUUCCUGAAUGUGUCAUUUUCAAGUUAUUUUCACCAAAUCACAUAAAAUAAAGCAGCACUAUGGUCACCUCUUUUUAAUAUUAUCCCUUAUAUUUAAUUUUAUUGGUCUUUCCUCAUAUACUAGGUACCAUCAUGAAUAAAGCAAAUUACAUUGACCACCUGGGUUUAAAUGGCCAGCUUCCAUCUUUUGGUGUUAUUUCUUUGAAAUAAAAUGUAUCUCACAUUUAAUUUGGGAGUAAGAAAACAUAACAUAAAGAAAUAAUGCAAACUUCAAUGCCAUGGGGGGUGUGGCUUACAUGUGUGCCUUAAAACGUGUUUAUAUAUAAGAGGAAUUAACUUGCUUUGUGUAUAAAAGAGCUAUAGUUCUUCAAAGAGCGGGCAUCUGAUCCCAGAACUGAGUUCACUGAGAUUAAAUUGUGCUCUGGGAAUUGAAGGUGUCCUCAGACCCUGGAAAUCCAAAAUGCAAAUGAAGAAGAAAUCAGGAGGUGUAAACACUGAAGGGAAUGAAUGUUUUCUGAAAUCCAGGCAGAAGGUACAACUGCUUCUAAGUCUCUGGAAGGUUCCAGUGUCCCAGGAGUUCCACAUGCACUCUAAGAUGAUUAUACCACUUUGCUACCAGCUUGCAGUAUUUUCAGUGCUGCAGAAAAGAGUUGCUGCACGAUGAGGAUUUCUGGCGAUGAGAAGCAGAGCUCAUCACUGGCAGGUUAGAUUCUGAAUCAUGGCCUACUAACUAAACCCCGGAGUGCCACACCUUGGAAACACAGAAGACAGAAGUCUCAGUGCGUCAUUUUUCUAGUUGCUUUCAAGGUAUCAUUAAGUGCUGCCUAAGAGUACCCUUCUAGUGCAAAAUGUGUUGUUCAGGAUUCUGUCCAGAUGCUGUUGGGCUGCUUCAAGGAGACUUCAAAUGGUCCUACUAGUGAGCCACCUUAUCGACCUUCACUCUGACAUUUGGCUUGGCUGCGUUUGAAGUGGUCCCAUGAGUGAGUCAUCUUACCGACCUUCACUUUGCCAUUUGGCUCGACUGCAUAUCAGAUGUUGUUGAAACCAAAACUAGUGGAUCCCUCUUCUUUCCAGGGAAGACUACAUUUUAGAAAUCUCCACAAUUACAACUUUAAACUGAAGCCAGAAAAUACAUUUUUUUGAAACUAAUCAGUCAGCAGAUCACCUGUCAUCCAACUGUGUGCCAUAUACAUAUAAUUUCAAGAAACAUUGGCCAUCAAGUACUUAAAAUUUUAGGGAUUUGGGCAACACCCAAUGCAGAACAGAUGAAUUUCAUGGUUUCUUUAUGCAUUUGCACAAAUUAAAAUAUAAGUCUUCACUUGGUUCGUUUGAACCCCUUUCUUCAAUUAGCUCUGUAUGCAGAGAAGGCCAGACAGCAGUUUUCAGAGAGCAAUCAAGAUUCUUCUGCAUGUUGUUACCUCUGUGUGUGAACGCCACUCUGACAGGGCAAAUUCUUGGAUUAAAAGUUGAUUGUACUCUAGCAGUUCUUCUUAUAACUGGUUUUGUAAACACAAAUGUUCAAAAUCACAAAAACUCUUUUCAAACAGUUAUUUUCUUUUCAGAUACAAGAACAGUAGGUAUAAGCUUCCCAAAGGUAGAUCUUACAUCCAAAUAAUACGUGUGUGUGUGUGUGUGUGUGUGUGUGUGUGUGUGUGUGUAUGCGUGUAUGCGUGUAUGCUUGUGUGUAUGUAUGUAUGUAUGUAUGUAUGUAUGUAUGUACGUAUGUAUGUAUGUAUGUAUGUGUGUGUGUUUAUGGAGCUAUAGGUUGAUUGACCUUAGUUGUCUUCCUUGAUUCCUCUCUAUCUUACUUUUUGAGACAGGAUCUCUCACUGAACCUGGAA
ensembl:lncRNA